rnacentral:rRNA from 1 species
GAUGAACGCUGGCGGCGUGCUUAACACAUGCAAGUCGAGCGGAGCGGCGAACGGGCGCGUAACGCGCGAGUAACUGCCCCCCUCUCUGGGAUAACAGUUGGAAACGGCUGCUAAUACCGGAUAGUGGGGGUUGACUCGCGUCCUAUCAGCUUGUUGGUGGGGUAGUGGCCUACCAAGGCGACGACGGGUAGCCGGCCUGAGAGGGCGACCGGCCACAAUGGGCUGAGAUACGGCCGAAACUCCGACGGGAGGCAGCAGUGGGGAAUAUUGCACAAGGGGGGAAAGCCUGAUGCAGAAACGCCGCGUGCGGGAUGACGGCCGUCGGGUUGUAAACCGCUUUCAGCCAUGACGCGGGAGUGGCAGAAGAAGCACCGGCUAACUACGUGCCAGCAGCCGCGGUAAUUC